rnacentral:lncRNA from 1 species
AGACGUCGGGCGCCGGGCACGCGCCGGGCACGCGCUAGGGGCGUGGGGGACACGCACGGGAGGCCUUGCCUGCGCUGAGGCUUUGAAGGAGGAAAAUCGGACCUUCUGACCCCUCAUGGGUCCCGGCAACCCCGGUGGGCAGGACUGGGGUGACUGAAGGCUCUGUCUGUCUGUCUGUCCUCCAUUCCCUCCCUCUAUUUGGAUUGAGAGGCUGUCAAAGUUAUCCCUAAAGCCUAAGAGGUGAGUCUGACAGAAUACGGAUGCUGUAAGAGGCAGCAAAUGAGGUUUUUGUUUGUUGGCUUUUUUGUUUUUUGUUUUUGACCUAGUUGAUGUAGGGUGAUGGCGGUGGCUAUUCACGUAAGCCCAGCGCUCUGGAGACUGGCAGGGCUAGAGAUGCGGAUUGUCGCUGGAGCGCCUGACUAGCAGGUGCCACGGGAAGGAAAGACAAGAGGCUUUGCUGGUUUCUAACUUGAUUAUAAGACAAGGCUUCGAGAUUUUUUUUUUCCCCCAGAAACUGAGAAGGAACAAAACGUGGACUUUUUUUUUUUUUAAAAAAACCACAUAGUCUCUGCAAGUCAACACCUACACACCAAUAUCUGCACGUUAAUGUAACACCAUUUUUUGUGUGAUUUUUUUUGUUGUUGUUUUGUGAUGGCCUUGCUAUGAAGCCCCAUAUUGGUCUCCGACCUUUAAAAAUUACUACAUUUAUAUAUUUGUCUGUGUGUGUGUGUUAGGGUUUCUGUUCCUGCACAAACAUCAUGACGAAAAAGCAAGUUGGGGAGGAAAGGGUUUAUUCAGCUUACAUUUCCACAUUGCUGUUCAUCACCAAAGGAAGUCAGGACUGGAACCCAAGCAGGUCAGGAAGCAGGAGCUGAUGCAGAGGCCAUGGUGGGAUGUUCUUUACUGGCUUGCCUCACCUGGCUUGCUCAGCCUGCUCUCUUAUAGAACCCAAGACUACCCGCCAGGGAUGGUCCCACCCACAAGGGGCCUUUCCCCCUUGAUCACUAAUUGAGAAAAUGCCUUACAGCUGGAUCUCACUGAGGCAUUUCCUCAAGGGAGGCUACUCUCUCUGUGACAACUCCAGCCUAUGUCAAGUUGACACACAAAACCAGCCAAUGCAGUGUGUGUGUGUGUGUCAUGUAUGUGCUGCUUCAUGUGUAGAAUUCAGAGAAUAACUUUCAGGUAUCAGCUCUCCUUUCACUGUAGGGGUCCUGGGAAUCAAACUCAUGCCUUGUCCCAAGGGAUUGUGCGUGCAGUCACGCUAGGCCACACUGGAAACCCUCCCCCCAUUUGGGGGGCAGGAGCAGGGUGUCCUUAACACUGAUAUUUUAAAACAUUUUAGAUUUAUUUUACUAUGUGUGUAUAUAAUGUGUGUGUCUGGUGCCUGUGGAGGUCAGGAGGCAGCAGAUCCCCUGGAACUGGAGUUUCAGGUGAUGGUAACUCUGGUUCUGGGAGCCAAAUCCUUCCCAUGCAAGAGCAACAGAUGCUCUGUCGGGUCAGCUCUUCAAGCCUUAGACCUUACUUUUUAUUCUGCAGUGCCAGAGAUCAACUUCAGAGCCUUGGGUGUGCUAGCCUCCUGCGCUACACACGGAGCCCCCAGAAUGAUGCGGCUUCUUAGGGUGCAGUUUGGAAUCUGAAAACAUAACGGUUUUUUUCAUAACCCAUCAAAAUAUAUCAUUAGGGGGCUGGUGAGAUGGCUCAGUGGGUAAGAGCACCCGACUGCUCUUCUGAAGGUCCAGAGUUCAAAUCCCAGCAACCACAUGGUGGCUCACAACCAUCCUUAACGAGAUCUGACUCCCUCUUCUGGAGUGUCUGAAGACAGCUACAGUUUACUUACAUAUAAUAAAUAAAUAAAUCUUUAAAAAAAAAACAAAGUAUAUCAUUAGAAUAUA